rnacentral:rRNA from 1 species
CAGCAGCCGCGGUAAUACGAAGGGUGCAAGCGUUAUCCGGAUUCAUUGGGUUUAAAGGGUGCGUAGGCGGGGCGAUAAGUCAGUGGUGAAAUCCUGCAGCUUAACUGUAGAAUUGCCAUUGAUACUGCCGCUCUUGAGUACGCUCGACGUAGGCGGAAUGUGCCGUGUAGCGGUGAAAUGCUUAGAUAUGGCACAGAACACCGAUAGUGAAGACGGCUUACGAGGGCGAAACUGACGCUGAGGCACGAAAGCGUGGGGAUCGAACAGGAUUAGAUACCCUGGUAGUCCACGCCGUAAACGAUGCAGACUCGGUGAUGAGUUGGCUUUUUGCUAACUCAGUGCCGCAGGGAAGCCGUUAAGUUUGCCGCCUGGGGAGUACGGCCGCAAGGCUAAAACUCA